rnacentral:rRNA from 1 species
AUUGAACGCUGGCGGCAGGCCUAACACAUGCAAGUCGAGCGGAUGAAGGGAGCUUGCUCCUGGAUUCAGCGGCGGACGGGUGAGUAAUGCCUAGGAAUCUGCCUGGUAGUGGGGGAUAACGUCCGGAAACGGGCGCUAAUACCGCAUACGUCCUGAGGGAGAAAGUGGGGGAUCUUCGGACCUCACGCUAUCAGAUGAGCCUAGGUCGGAUUAGCUAGUUGGUGGGGUAAAGGCCUACCAAGGCGACGAUCCGUAACUGGUCUGAGAGGAUGAUCAGUCACACUGGAACUGAGACACGGUCCAGACUCCUACGGGAGGCAGCAGUGGGGAAUAUUGGACGAUGGGCGAAAGCCUGAUCCAGCCAUGCCGCGUGUGUGAAGAAGGUCUUCGGAUUGUAGAGCACUUUAAGUUGGGAGGAAGGGCAGUAAGUUAAUACCUUGCUGUUUUGACGUUACCAACAGAAUAAGCACCGGCUAACUUCGUG